rnacentral:lncRNA from 1 species
UCUACAGCGCUGGGCUAACAUCCCGCCGCCGCCCGGAGCCGGGUCUUGCUCGCGCUCUCGCGAGAGAGCCGUCAUCUCUCCGGUGCCCGGGAGAGGGGCCGGGCGGGACGGUACAGCAACCGGAGGAACCUUGAUUCCCUGCCCCGCAAGCCCAGCACCGGUUUUGCCGCCUUGUCUCGAAGGGUCAACCAGGCCAUCUCCUGCCUCGGGACGGAGAGCGCCCUGGAAAAGGCGGAGGGGCCGACCUUAGUCACACAAGAGCGAUGGCAAGAUUUUCACCCAAGCCAUCUGACUUGGAACCCAUGGAUUAACCAACUGCCACUGGAGGCAAAUCCAGAGACCAAGGGAGCAGUUUAUACAGAAACAGGUCUGUUAUGGGUGGAAUUAGGUCCCUUCAAAAGAACGUUGAAACCCUAACCCCCAGUACCUCAGAACGUGACCUUAUGUGGGAACAGGGUUAUUGCAAAUGUAAUUAGUUAAGCUGAGGUCAUCCUGGGAUAGAUUAGACCCCUACUCCAGUGUGACUGGCGUCUUUAUAAGAAGACAACCAGGCCGGGCGCAGUGGCUCACACCUGUAAUCCCAGCACUUUGGGAGGCCGAGGCGGGUGGAUCACAAGGUUAGGAGAUCAAUACCAUCCUGGCUAACACGGUGAAACCCUGUCUCUACUAAAAAUACAAAAAACUAGUGCAGCAUGGUGGCAUGUGCCUGUGGUCCCAACUACUUGGAAGGCUGAGGUGGGAGGAUCACCUGAGCAUGAAAGGUUGAGGCUGCAGUGAGCUGUGAUGGUGCCACCACACUCCAGCCUGGGCAAAUUAUGUUUUGGUCGGGCGCGGUGGCUCAUGCCUGUAAUCCCAAUACUUUGGGAGGCCAAGGUGGGCAGAUCGUGAGGUCAGGAGAUCGAGACCAUCCUGGCUAACAUGGUGAAACCCUGUGUCUACUAAAAAUACAGAAAAAUUAGCCGGGCAUGGUGGUGGGCGCCUGUAGUCCCAGCUACUCGGAAGGCUGAGGCAGGAGAAUGGUGUGAACCCAGGAGGCGGAGGUUGCAGUCAGCCGAGAUCGCGCCACUGUACUCCGGCCUGGGUGACAGAGCGAGACUCCAUCUCAAAAAAAAAAAAAACAGAAGACAACCAUGUGAAGGCAGGGAGACACAGAGACAGCACCAUGUGACGACAGAAAAUUGGAUUAAUAUAUCUAUAAGCCAAAGAAUGCCAGAUCGCCAGCAAACCACCAGAAGUAAGGAAGAGGCAAAGAAGGAUUCCCCUACAGGUUUCAGAGAGGGAGCAUGGCCCUGCUGACACCUUGAUUUGGACUUCUUCCCACUAGAACUGUGAUACAAUAAAUUUCUGCUGUCUUAAGCCA